UACGUAGGGGGCAAGCGUUGUCCGGAAUCAUUGGGCGUAAAGAGCGUGUAGGCGGCGCAACAAGUCACUUGUGAAAUCUCCGGGCUUAACUCGGAACGGUCAAGUGAUACUGUUGUGCUAGAGUGCGGAAGGGGCAACUGGAAUUCUCGGUGUAGCGGUGAAAUGCGUAGAUAUCGAGAGGAACACCUGCGGCGAAGGCGGGUUGCUGGGCCGACACUGACGCUGAUGCGCGAAAGCCAGGGGAGCGAACGGG
rnacentral:rRNA from 1 species